rnacentral:rRNA from 1 species
AGAGUUUGAUCCUGGCUCAGAUUGAACGCUGGCGGCAGGCUUAACACAUGCAAGUCGAGCGGUAGCACAAGGGAGCUUGCUCCCUGGGUGACGAGCGGCGGACGGGUGAGUAAUGUCUGGGGAACUGCCUGAUGGAGGGGGAUAACUACUGGAAACGGUAGCUAAUACCGCAUAACGUCGCAAGACCAAAGAGGGGGACCUUCGGGCCUCUUGCCAUCAGAUGUGCCCAGAUGGGAUUAGCUAGUAGGUGGGGUAAUGGCUCACCUAGGCGACGAUCCCUAGCUGGUCUGAGAGGAUGACCAGCCACACUGGAGCUGAGACACGGUCCAGACUCCUACGGGAGGCAGCGGUGGGGAAUAUUGCACAAUGGGCGCAAGCCUGAUGCAGCCAUGCCGCGUGUGUGANGAAGGCCUUCGGGUUGUAAAGCACUUUCAGCGAGGAGGAAGGUGGUGAACUUAAUACGUUCAUCAAUUGACGUUACUCGCAGAAGAAGCACCGGCUAACUCCGUGCCAGCACCCGCGGUAAUACGGACGGUGCAAGCGUUAAUCGGAAUUACUGGGCGUAAAGCGCACGCAGGCGGUUUGUUAAGUCAGAUGUGAAAUCCCCGGGCUCAACCUGGGAACUGCAUUUGAAACUGGCAAGCUAGAGUCUCGUAGAGGGGGGUAGAAUUCCAGGUGUAGCGGUGAAAUGCGUAGAGAUCUGGAGGAAUACCGGUGGCGAAGGCGGCCCCCUGGACGAAGACUGACGCUCAGGUGCGAAAGCGUGGGGAGCAAACAGGAUUAGAUACCCUGGUAGUCCACGCUGUAAACGAUGUCGAUUUGGAGGUUGUGCCCUUGAGGCGUGGCUUCCGGAGCUAACGCGUUAAAUCGACCGCCUGGGGAGUACGGCCGCAAGGUUAAAACUCAAAGGAAUUGACGG